AGCGUGGGGAAGAGAAAGGCUCUCUCCCAGGAAGGGCUCCUGGGUCCCGCAUGGUUCCCAGGUCGGACACCAACGUCUGACUGACGGCGGCACCUCCACAUAGUUGGAAGCUGGCGCGGGUCUGUUGGCUCCGGCUGGUGAACUGCAUCGUAAGGAGAAUGAAACAUGGUUUCUCCCUUUGGACGGACGAAACAUAGUUACACUGAUCUCGGCUGGUACUGCUCGGGAGCAAAUUUCUGGGGAGAGUGAUGAAAACCAUCAGAUGGCCUUAAAACUGGGACCAAGGAGAUGAGGGGCUCUGGUUUCCAUGGGUGAGGCCCUGCGGGAAGAAUGGGGGGGGGGGGCCUGCCAUGCCUCACAGCGCAAAGGAGCCCGUGCGUCUCUCAUACCCAAACCUGCGCAUGCCCCGCCCUGGGGGGCCAGCACCAACGCCACCUGCUGCAACCGGACCCUGGGAGGUGUUCUAGGGUCGCAUCAUGGGAAGGGAGAGCCGGGAGGUCAGGGGGCUGAGCCUCUCCACCUACAGAGGACAGAGAUGGGGCUGGGACAGGCUCUCCCGCUUCCCAGGGUGGCAGCCCUUCCUCAACACUGGCUUAACCAGCCAGUAGGAGCUCUGCAUGCUCUGCGGUCAAGGGACAGACUUAGACAGCCUUUACUGGGUCCGGCGGUCAAGUUCUCGAGCCAACGUACCCGAGCCCCAGGUGCCCAGACAUUGGGUCUGACAGCACUCUGGGUGUCCUCAGUGAGGGUGUUUCUGGAUGGGGUUGGCGUUUGAAUGUGCGCACUGAGAAAAGCUGAUUGCCCUCCCCAACCGGGACGUCGGUCUUCGGCUGCCCCCACUGGCUUCCUGGCUCUCCAGCUUGCACGUGGCUGCGUGUGGGACCUGCCAGCCCCUGUAGUCACUUGAGCCCACUCUUCACAUGCACGCGUGUAUGUGUCUACAUCUCCCACAGCCUCCGUUUCUCUGGAGCUCACCCUGGGGUGAGCUGUGCUGCACUCAUGAAUCUGAAGCCUGGGGCUUCCCCGGCCUCUGACCCUGUGUCAGCACAGAUGCGACCGUGACCUCUCUUGGCCACCGAGGGCCUGAUCGGGGUGAUCCCCUGGGAUCGCUGGACUGCAUCUGGGGUCAUGGAACAGGUCUGCAGAGCGUGUGGGCUUCGCCACGAGCGCCGUCUGUCUACACAGGACUCCAAGCGUCAGGGAGCACAGCCUGGGUCGGCACGCACGGUGAGUCUGGCGUGGGGGCGGUCACCGCUGUCCCUGGGGCAGCUGGGAGACCUCGUCAGGGGCGCAGGUCUGCGGUCAGGCUGUGUGGGGGUGAAAGUCUCCCGAGAACCCCGGGGGGCCCCACAAGCUCCUUCCUGCCCAGCCACAUGUGUGUGAACAGCACGAGUUUCUUCAUCUUCUUCAACCAAAACAUGUCCUAGCAGAAGAGUGGCCGAAGCGGACAGGAAAGCCCAGCAUCUUCAGCUCAGCCAGUCAGCGAAGGGAUUUACAGAAACAUAAAGACGGCUGUUUGCCCUGAAAUAUAGCGUUUCUCAUCGGUAACUGCUGACACCGCAGAUAUCCACAGGUGUGACUGGCAGGAAGAGCGGCUCCGUGCGUCCUCCCAACCCCUGACAACCCCUGAGGGUGUGGCGGGGUCCAGGCGAGCUCCGGAUCGCAGCUCUGUCCCCGCCCCCACGACAAACCAGCACCUUCCGUUCCUCCGCACCUGCCUGCGGGCCCCUCCGGUGAGGGUGAGAACUGCAAACACACCUGGCUUUCCGCUUCCCAGGCUCUGUUCUAAGCCGUUUGCAAAUAUUAAGUCAGUUGACCUCCA